UUUGCAAGUUUGAGGCCAUAGCAGAAGUGUUCACAGUAUGACCCUGUCAGAUUCCAGUGAAUCUGCAAAUUUUGCU
rnacentral:ribozyme from 1 species